rnacentral:sRNA from 1 species
UGAACUGGGAUAUAAAGUCCAAGUGACGGA